rnacentral:rRNA from 1 species
UACGUAGGGGGCUAGCGUUGUCCGGAAUCAUUGGGCGUAAAGCGCGUGUAGGCGGCUCGGUAAGUCCGCUCUGAAAGUCCAGGGCUCAACCCUGGGAUGCGGGUGGAUACUGCCGGGCUCGAGUCCGGAAGAGGCGAGUGGAAUUCCCGGUGUAGCGGUGAAAUGCGCAGAUAUCAGGAAGAACACCAACGGCGAAGGCAGCUCGCUGGGACGGAACUGACGCUAAGGCGCGAAAGCGUGGGGAGCGAACAGG